GCUGGGCCUGGUGGCGCAGGCCUGUAAUCCCAGUGGCUCAGGAGGCUGAGGCAGGAGGAUCGGGAGUUCAAAGCCAGCCUCAGCAAAAGUGAGGUGCUGAGCAACUCAGUGAGACCCUGUCUCUA
rnacentral:sRNA from 1 species